UACCAGCACCCCGAGUGGUCGGGACGUUUAUUGGGCCUAAAGCAUCCGUAGCCGGUUCUACAAGUCUUCCGUUAAAUCCACCUGCUUAACAGCUGGGCUGCGGAAGAUACUAUAGAGCUAGGAGGCGGGAGAGGCAAGCGGUACUCGAUGGGUAGGGGUAAAAUCCGUUGAUCCAUUGAAGACCACCAGUGGCGAAGGCGGCUUGCCAGAACGCGCUCGACGGUGAGGGAUGAAAGCUGGGGGAGCAAACCGG
rnacentral:rRNA from 1 species